rnacentral:rRNA from 1 species
UACGGAGGGUGCUAGCGUUGUUCGGAAUUACUGGGCGUAAAGGGCGUGUAGGCGGAUCGGCCAGUCAGGCGUGAAAGCCCCGGGCUCAACCUGGGAAUUGCGCUUGAGACUACCGAUCUUGAGUCCGGGAGAGGGUAGUGGAAUUCCCAGUGUAGAGGUGAAAUUCGUAGAUAUUGGGAAGAACACCAGUGGCGAAGGCGGCUACCUGGACCUGUACUGACGCUGAGGCGCGAAAGCGUGGGGAGCAAACAGG